rnacentral:rRNA from 1 species
UACGGAGGAUGCGAGCGUUAUCCGGAUUUAUUGGGUUUAAAGGGUGCGUAGGCGGACUGUCAAGUCAGCGGUAAAAUUGAGAGGCUCAACCUCUUCCCGCCGUUGAAACUGGUGGUCUUGAGUGGAUGAGAAGUACGCGGAAUGCGUGGUGUAGCGGUGAAAUGCUUAGAUAUCACGAAGAACUCCGAUUGCGAAGGCAGCCUGCUGGACUGUAACUGACGCUGAUGCUCGAAAGUGUGGGUAUCAAACAGG